rnacentral:rRNA from 1 species
AGUGAACGCUGGCGGUAGGCCUAACACAUGCAAGUCGAACGGCAGCACAGUAAGAGCUUGCUCUUACGGGUGGCGAGUGGCGGACGGGUGAGGAAUACAUCGGAAUCUACUUUUUCGUGGGGGAUAACGUAGGGAAACUUACGCUAAUACCGCAUACGACCUACGGGUGAAAGCAGGGGAUCUUCGGACCUUGCGCGAUUGAAUGAGCCGAUGUCGGAUUAGCUAGUUGGCGGGGUAAAGGCCCACCAAGGCGACGAUCCGUAGCUGGUCUGAGGGGAUGAUCCGCCACACUUGAACGGAGACACGGUGCAGACUCCUACGGGAGGCAGCAGUGGGGAAUAUUGGACAAUGGGCGGAAGCCUGAUCCAGCCAUACCGCGUGGGUGAAGAAGGCCUUCGGGUUGUAAAGCCCUUUUGUUGGGAAAGAAAAGCAGCAGGUUAAUACCCCGCUGUUCUGACGGUACCCAAAGAAUAAGCACCGGCUAACUUCGU